AAAAACAUUGCCUCUCGACUCAACAAUGAGAGGUUCAUCCUGCCCAAUGACAACAUAGUUCAAUGGCCGCGGUACCCUGACCGUGCAAAGGUAGCAUAAUCACUUGCCCCUUAAUUAGGGGCUGGCAUGAAAGGACACACGAAAGCUUCCCUGUCUCACAAUAACAAAUAAAAAUUAAUCUUCAAGUGAAAAAGCUUGAAUAAAAUUGCAGGACAAGAAGACCCCGUUGAGCUUUAUUCUCUAUAGACUAAAUCAAAUAUUAAAUACAUCAUAAACCUAAAAAGAAUUUAGUUGGGGUGACUAAGGAACACCGAAAACUUCCUUUUAUUAAUUAGGAUCAUUCUCCAUACAAAUUGACCCAUUACACAUGAUCAAAAAAAUAAGCUACCACAGGGAUAACAGGCUAAUCUUUCUCAAGAGCCCAAAUUGUCAGAAAGGAUUGGCACCUCGAUGUUGGCUUAGGGGCCCCUAAUGGUGCAGAAGCCAUAAAUGGUAGGUUUGUUCAACCUUUAAAACCCUACGUGAUCUG
rnacentral:rRNA from 1 species